rnacentral:rRNA from 1 species
AUUGAACGCUGGCGGCAUGCUUUACACAUGCAAGUCGAACGGCAGCACAGGGAGCUUGCUCCUGGGUGGCGAGUGGCGAACGGGUGAGUAAUGUAUCGGAACGUGCCUGGUAGUGGGGGAUAACUACUCGAAAGAGUGGCUAAUACCGCAUGAGAUCUUUGGAGGAAAGCGGGGGACCUUCGGGCCUCGUGCUACUGGAGCGGCCGAUAUCAGAUUAGGUUGUUGGUGGGGUAAAGGCCUACCAAGCCUGCGAUCUGUAGCUGGUCUGAGAGGACGACCAGCCACACUGGGACUGAGACACGGCCCAGACUCCUACGGGAGGCAGCAGUGGGGAAUUUUGGACAAUGGGCGCAAGCCUGAUCCAGCAAUGCCGCGUGCAGGACGAAGGCCUUCGGGUUGUAAACUGCUUUUGUACAGAACGAAAAGUCUCUGGCUAAUAUCUAGAGAUCAUGACGGUACUGUAAGAAUAAGCACCGGCUAACUACGUG